CGAAGGGUGCUAGCGUUGUUCGGAUUUACUGGGCGUAAAGCGUGCGUAGGUGGCUUUACAAGUUAGGGGUGAAAUCCUGGGGCUCAACCCCAGAAUUGCCUUUGAAACUGUAAAGCUAGAGUAUCGGAGGGGAUAGCGGAAUUGCUAAUGUAGAGGUGAAAUUCGUAGAUAUUAGCAGGGACACCGGUGGCGAAGGCGGCUAUCUGGACGAUUACUGACACUCUGGCACGAAAGCGCGGGGAUCAAACAGGAUUAGAUACCCUGGUAGUCCGCGCUGUAAACGAUGGAUGCUAGCCGUUCGGGGGUUACCCCUGAGUGGCGUAGCUAACGCGUUAAGCAUCCCGCCUGGGGAGUACGGUCGCAAGAUUA
rnacentral:rRNA from 1 species